rnacentral:rRNA from 1 species
CUAUACAUGACUCUGCGCAUAUCAAUAAGCGGAGGAAAAGAAACUAACAAGGAUUCCCUAGUAACGGCGAGUGAAGCGGGAAGAGCUCAAAUUUGAAAUCUUCAAGGUUCUACCUUGACGAAUUGUAGUUUAUAGAAGUGUUUUCUGUUAGUAGAGUGGCAAAAGUUCUUUGGAAUAGGACAUCAUAGAGGGUGAGAAUCCCGUAUUUGGUCAUUCUCUUCCUAGCUUUGUGAUACGCUUUCAACGAGUCGGAUUGUUUGGGAAUGCAGUCCAAAAUGGGUGGUAAAUUUCAUCUAAAGCUAAAUAUUGGCGAGAGACCGAUAGCGAACAAGUACCGUGAGGGAAAGAUGAAAAGAACUUUGAAAAGAGAGUUAAACAGUACGUGAAAUUGUCAAAAGGGAAGCGUUUGACACCAGUGUUGUUUCUCCGAAAAUCAAUUACGAAUGUUUUAUUUUUGAGAAGUUAUGACUUCAUCGGCUUGCUUCUCUCUUUAUGAAACUUUCUUAAUGCACUUUUCGGUUAACAAGUCAACAUCAAUUUCUUUUGUUGUAAAAGGGUAUGAGGAAGGUGGCUUUCUUUUCGGAGAAAGUGUUUAUAGCCUUGUACCUCUGCAAUCGGAGAGAUUGAGGUCUGCAGCGUAGAUCCUUCGGGGUUAGAUACAUUUGUGCUAAGUUAUAGCUUUUCAUAGACAACUUGUUGACUAUGUUUAGUCUUGUAGCUUACUCGCUUAUGUUAUUUUACCUACGCUUAGGAUGUUGAUAGUCACAGCGUGUAC